UUACAUUGAAAGAAAAUUCAGGAGGCGUUCGCUAAGAAAGAUUAGUACUAAUGUGGGAGGAUUCCAGCGUUAUUUUGCUUAAUAUUAUAGUCUUGCUUAUUCAUUAUUUAUGAUGCAUUACUUUUUCUUAACAAUAAUUCAUGGCAGAUAUUACUAAAAAAGGAGUAUCUUAUCAAAUUAAAUUUCUCUGAGGCACGAGGUACGAGAAAUCGUUGACAUUAGUACGAUUCUCUACACCUCCUGCUUGAUGUUCUCAGAUCAGUCAGACGAGAGUCCCUCCAUUGAGUGGUAACUGGUCUCCAGUUGAAAGAUUUCUGUCGCAGAUAUCGGCCUCAGGAAAAGUCAAUCAUCUACCAACAAAAGACUGCCACCCAUGGAUGAGUUCCUAGCUGUGGAACUUUACAAUCCCCAAGACUGCAGCGAGGCUGCUGUAGUUCCAGGCGAAGAUUCACAGGGAAGGCUUGCUCACAGUCAGUUCGUGCAAGGCGGCGGCGGCGACUCGAGCUUGCCUCACAGCUCAGAACCUGAGAAUGUACGUCCAUCGACAAAUGUUGGUGCUAGGCCAAAAUCAUUUGAGAGAGCAGGGCCAUCCUCAACAGCUGGGAUUCCCGUGAUCAUCGCUUCUAUGCUGGGUGGCCACCACCGCUGCUUAGCUGCUGACCAAACAAAGUGCGCCUAUGCAAAAUACAAUCCCCUUUUUGGAAGAGAAGAUGGAGCCGUAGAAGCCAGUGAUGCACCCUCGUCAGACCCUCAGGGUUGUCAUAACCUUUCUGUUAAUCGACAAAUGUCCACGGGUGAUUUACUUAGCCUAAACGAAGUUGCGCUCAUUGAAAAGGAAGUAGUUACAGACACCUCCAACAUAGACUACAAUGUCUUUCACUGUCAACAAGAGGUCGACGACAGCUUCAACACACCUGCCAUGGGUGAAGAUUCACCCGCCCCUAUUGUAGAAGCAUUCCCCUUCCCGGUCCCAGCAGAAGAAUUUGAUUAUGGUUCGGGUGCUAAAGGGAGGGACAAAAAGGGACGGUAUAAUCCAGCGAUAUGCAACGGCUGCCAAAAGACUUUCUCUCAGGUCGGCAAUCGUAACAUACACUUAAGGAUGGGACGCUGCAGGGGAUCAAACGUAAACAUCUCCUUGUUUUCGUGUCCUGGAUGUGGUCAUCGGUUUAAAUUACUGCAACAUUUGAGUCUCCACAUUCGGUACACACCGGCAUGUUACGACAGGAUUUACAAGUAAAAAAAAAAGAAAAAAAAAAAGAGAGAGAGGGAAACGCUUCCCAGGCAUCAUUUCUCCCUGGUCAUCGUGCCGGGGUUAUAUAUGUAUAAGGCUUUAGGGAGGAAUGUUCUUAAGUACUGAAGUCUUUGGCUUAUUGUAUUUUAAAAGCCUGAACAUCAUACAGCGUUUUUUUCUUGACGACGUGGCUACCAUCAAUUACGAGCAUUUAGAAGUUUUUGAUGAUCACGCCCUGGCGACUUACCGGUCAUCAGUGCAUCUGAUUUCGUAAUGCUAGGUUGCCGGGGAUUGAUAACAAAAUCUAUAGACUUGUUGGCCGUGGCUAAAGUCAUUGAUCACAGUUAGGAAGCCGAUCAUAAAGAUAAAGAUGAAUUAAUCUAUACCAAACGAUACCAAAGCCUAUAUUCUGAGUAUCUAGCUAUAGGAAAAGUUUACUAGAUCAGAUGUCUGUUUAUUACUGUAAUAUAUUUUUUUUAUUUCUCUCCAGAAAGGCUAUAUCUUAUUUUUGUAAUUCGAUUAAGGGCAAAGUACUGGAAGAAUAGUUUAGUGUUGUGUUUAUUAGAAUAUUGAAGUUUUAUUUAUAUUAUGAAGUUUUAUGUAACAAAAACCAAGGCAUACCCUACCCUUUUAGAAUGCCAAAUAUCGUUGUGUCUAUUCAUUGCACGAGGAAUAUUUUUCAUUAAGUCUUGCAUAAAUAAUCACUAUGUAUUGUGUACAUUUUAUUAAAUUGUCGUAUACCCAAUCACAGUAUAUGGUGUAUGUGCUUUGUUGAACUGUGUCAUGGCCAAGACUGAGUACUACGGAAAUACUUAUCGAAAUAUAUUUUUUACUAAAACUUCGGCAAAUCUAGUUGCCGUAGAUCCUAGGCCUAUUUCGGACUAAAGUUUGACACCAUCCUUGCAUUGUGAAUGUAAAUGUAGUAAGUAAUUUCCUUAAACACAGUGUCACCAGAUCAUUGAAGAUGGCAUGAAUAUCUCAAUGCUUUUACAAUAGGGAUUCAUUUUCUCCUUUUCAGCAGUAUAUAUGUCUUACAAGAUUA